GCGUCGAUAGUCUAAUGGUAGGACAUGAGCCUUCCAAGCUCACGAUCCGGGUUCGAAUCCCGGUCGACGCA
rfam:Candidatus Micrarchaeota archaeon RBG_16_36_9 RBG_16_scaffold_36, whole genome shotgun sequence.